rnacentral:rRNA from 1 species
GGGUGACCUACCCUCGAGUGGGGAAUAACCCGCCGAAAGGCGGGCUAAUGCCGCGUACGCUUCCAGGUUUGCGGACUUGGAAGGAAAGCCGUAGCUAGGCUAUGGCGCUCAAGGAUGGGCUCACGUCCUAUCAGCUUGUUGGUAGGGUUAUGGCCUACCAAGGCUCCGACGGGUAGCUGGUCUGAGAGGACGAUCAGCCACACUGGCACUGCGACACGGGCCAGACUCCUACGGGAGGCAGCAGUGAGGAAUAUUGCGCAAUGGGCGAAAGCCUGACGCAGCGACGCCGCGUGGGGGAUGAAGGUCUUCGGAUUGUAAACCCCUUUCGGGAGGGAAGAUGGCCCUAGACAACUAGGGCGGACGGUACCUCCAGAAGCAGCCACGGCUAACUUCGUGCCAGCAGCCGCGGUAAUACGAAGGUGGCAAGCGUUGUUCGGAUUUACUGGGCGUACAGGGAGCGU